rnacentral:lncRNA from 1 species
GCUGUCGUAUAUUCUGAAUCAAAGUUUAGUUACAUUUGCGAGUUACCUGAGACCAAAUUUGGCACCUUUCGAACUUGCUCAAUACUACAUGAAAACCCCAAUAAAAGAGCAGGUGUGAUAUGGAGAUGCCCAGAACAUUGAAGACAUGGGUUGUUUAAAUUAACGUGCUGAAAAUGAAUAUUAUACGUUAUCCUCUUCAUGCUUCAUUACACAACGAGAUUGUUGAUUCUUUCAAAGAGGUUGCUGGAAAGCAAAAAGUAAUAGAUAGCUCGAGAACAAGACCAAGAAAAUAGAGUCGGUCAAUGAUGGAAAUCACUCAUUUUGGUCCCUUCAUGAUGGUAUACAGAUCGAAUGUCAUGUAGUAUGCAAUGCAGCCAAAAUCCAGAGACACAAAGAUAGGUAGUAGAUGAGAUAGCUUGAUAGAAGAAUCCACCUUAAUGGUCCUAUUCCAAAACCAAAAAAAGAGCAAACCUCAGUUAAGAUUUAUCAUGAAUCAAGUGUGCAUAACAAAGCAUAAGGUCUGAGUGGAGAAUGGAGCUAACCUGUACAAGCUACAAAAGAAAGCAGGAAUAGGAACGCCACUGGAAGAACUGCUACUGUUAUGGAUUUUCUCACUCUCGUUCCAGUUUUCAUUGCUCAAAGUAUGAGAUAAACAAGGAACUUGGAUGUUGUAUAAGUGGAUAAAUGCUUAUAUUAAUUAUGUGCAAUAUGUUGGUUCUUGUCGCUAGGUAGGCGGAGUAACUCGCAGUAUGUUUGGUAGAUGCCUAAUGGUGAACAAGGUUUUCAUCACAUUUAUGUACACAUGUAAAGAGAGAGAAAAGAAAAAAAAAAGAAUUUGAUAAGGUAAUCAUACAUCAGAACAAGUCAAUUUUGGAGAAUCUAAUACCAACAUUUUUGAAGACUCUAAGAAAGAUAUAUA